UACGGGGGGGGCAAGCGUUGUUCGGAAUUACUGGGCGUAAAGGGUGCGUAGGUGGCGUGGUAAGUCGGGUGUGAAAUUUCGGAGCUUAACUCCGAAACUGCAUUCGAUACUGCUGUGCUUGAGGACUGGAGAGGAGACUGGAAUUUACGGUGUAGCAGUGAAAUGCGUAGAGAUCGUAAGGAAGACCAGUGGCGAAGGCGGGUCUCUGGACAGUUCCUGACACUGAGGCACGAAGGCCAGGGGAGCAAACGGG
rnacentral:rRNA from 1 species